UACGUAGGCAGCGAGCGUUGUUCGGAAUUACUGGGCGUAAAGAGUGUGUAGGCGGUGUUCCCAGUCUGUUGUGAAAUCUCCCGGCUUAACUGGGAGGGUGCAGCGGAAACUAGAAUGCUAGAGGGUGGGAGAGGGUAAGCGGAAUUCCUGGUGUAGCGGUGAAAUGCGUAGAUAUCAGGAGGAACACCUGUGGUGUAGACAGCUUACUGGACCACUUCUGACGCUGAGACACGAAGCGUGGGUAGCAAACAGG
rnacentral:rRNA from 1 species